CGCAAGCCCAGGGGCUGGGACCCAGGGACAGCCUGGCAUCGAAGCCAGGUCACCGCAAGUCUAGGGGCUGAGACCCAGGAACAGCCUGGCAUCGAAGCCAGGUCACCGCAAGUCCAGGGGCUGGGACGCAGGGACAGCCUGGCAUCGAAGCCAGGUCACCGCAAGUCCAGGGGCUGGGACGCAGGGACAGCCUGGCAUCGAAGCCAGGUCACCGCAAGUCCAGGGGCUGGGACGCAGGGACAGCCUGGCAUCGAAGCCAGGCCACCGCAAGUCCAGGGGCUGGGACGCAGGGACAGCCUGGCAUCGAAGCCAGGUCACCGCAAGUCCGGCAUCGGCGCCUAAGGGACCCGCGGCACCCCAAUCGGCGGCCCCCUAGCGAACCGCGCUGCUCAGUCCCGGCGCUUUCGCGUGAAAGCUGGAACCACGGGCGCAGCUGUUCACGCCGCGCGGCCUUGAGCUACCCGGAGCAGGCCGGGCCCGCCUGGUGCGCCCCAUACGUCAGGAAGAUGGAGAGAGCCUGUAAAGCACAAGGGAGGGGGGCAGCUGUGAACGCUAAUCAUUUCGGCAGCGGGAACACCUGAAAUAAACUUCCCUGGGAACAGACAAAAGAAGACACACUUCAUCAAGAUUUCACAGGCUCUUACGAUCUUAGGGAUCUAACUCUACUCAACGUCAUAAACCCCUCGCUGCUGGGUAAACACCCCAUGGUUUCUAUUUUCCAGCGGGAGGAAUCGAGAACAGACACAGCAAAACAGAAAAAGUCUAAGCUGCAGUAACUAGGAGCCACUUUUCAGUGCCUGCAGAGAGACUCCCCCUAGGAGCAGCCGGAAGGAACCAACUGCCAGAUUUCAACCGGCACCGAGACUUCUGGAACUCCGGUGCCGACCUUCUGUCCUGCCAGCGAGGGAGAGCCCGAAGCGUGCCCCGUCUCUGAGACGCACGGUCCCUCGCCUGUGCUGGCAGCUUGUGCUAGGCCCCCUCGGAUCUGCUCAUCCACAGCAUAUAGGGUGUGUUUAUCUAUAGGCACCAAUUCCCAAUGCUCUCGUCACAGUGAAAAUAACAGUCAUUGGUCAGGAAGCGUCCCAAGUGUCGCUGGGUGGCUGGAGCACGUGUGCGCUUACUGGGUGGAGCCAGGACCAGGGAAA